rnacentral:misc_RNA from 1 species
UGAGAAAGAGCAAGAGGCCAGCUUUGGAGUGAGAGACAGUUCAUAGCAAUCCUCAUACCAUGACUGUUGCCAUUGGUACCUGGGCUGACUGGCUCAUGGUUGUUGUGGAGGAAAGACACAUUGGACAGACUGGGAUUAAUCGCAACAGGAGUGACGAAAGUCGGGACCCAUUACACGAGGCUGCUAGGGGAGGUCAAGAGGCAGUGGUCGAGACACUCCUCAAUUUUGGUGCGCAAGUGAAUGCCAAGACUAGAAUAGGUGAGACUCCCUUACACUGUGCUUCCUGGAACGGCCAUCAUGCUGUUGCAGAGACGCUCCUCGAGAAGGGCGGAGAAGUGAACGCCAAGAAUCCAUUUGGUGAGACUCCCUUACACUUUGCUUCCUGGAACGGCCAUCAUGCUGUUGCAGAGACGCUCCUCGAGAAGGGCGGAGAAGUGAACGCCAAGACUAAGACUGGUUGGACUCCCUUACACUGUGCUUCCUGGAACGGCCAUCAUGCUGUUGCAGAGACGCUCCUCGAGAAGGGCGGAGAAGUGAACGCCAAGGCUAAGGAUGAUAAGACUCCCUUACACUUUGCUUCCGAGAACGGCCAUCUUGCUGUUGCUGAGACGCUCCUCGAGAAGGGCGGAGAAGUGAACGCCAAGACUUUGAUUGGUGAGACACCCUUACACUGGGCUUCCGAGAACGGCCAUUAUACUGUUGCGGAGACGCUCCUUGAGAAGGGCGGAGAAGUGAACGCCAAGACUAAGGAUGGAGAGACAGCAAUGCACAAGGCAGCUUUGAAGGGACACACGGCAGUGCUGGAAGUCCUUCGGGAGGGCGGGGCCGACGUGAACGCUGCAGAUGAUUAUGGCAACACGCCCCUUCACAAAGCAGCUUCACAAGGGCAUCUCCUCGCUAUAUUCAUGUUGACGAAAUUUGGGGCUUCCACGUACAAGAAGAAUAAGAGUGGAAGGACUCCGCAGGACUUGAUGCCGAGAUCUUCCUCCACAGAGAGCCGUGGCAUGGAACUUUUCCAAAGCGUGUCCAUGACUCACAUGGCGGAAGGUUGGGUUGCAACCGAGAAGGAAAGGAUCAGAUUGCAAAGAGAAAUCCAAGUGUUGAAGAAGCAGAGAGAGCGAGUGAUCAGUGCGAAAAGUGCCGAGAUAGUGAAUCUACAGAAGGAGACCAGAGACCUGAAGGAAGACCUGAGGAAGAAGGAAGAGGAGAUUGUAUUACUCAAGGAUAUGCAGGAGGAGCAAGAACGGGAGAGGAGUAGGACGGAAACUGUGGUGACUAAUCUGCAGACGGAAAACAGCGAACUGAAGGAUAUCCUAUGUCUGAAGGAAAGGGAGAUCAGAGAGCUAAAGGAGCAACACACAGCAGACGUUGGGAAUGCGACAAACAGGUCGGAGGGCGAGGAUGCGAAAGAGCAACACCUGGAAGAGGUGAGGAACCUGAGAAGAAUACAGCGCACGAGAGAGGAAGAGGCAGCCGAAGAAAUAAGGGAAUUGAAUCAAAUGUUAAGAAAUCGGGAAGAGAAGAUUGAGUCCCUGAAGGAAAUGCUCAGAGACCGAGAGGAGAAGCUGGGGGAGAGAGAGAGCCACCUGAAGCGAGCGGAGGCUUGAUGUCCCGUGACCUUGCUCAGAAGCCGCCUCUCUUGGCGAAAUCGGGGUCAUUUCUAGACACUGACACCAUAUAGGAAAGGGCAAAGCACUGAUUUCUUUUGCUAGAUUUGAUUGCUUAGUAAGACAAAGACAGUUACGAGUGCAAGAACGGAAGAUGAGACAUUUACAUUCCCUAUUAAGGGACAGAGGGUUUGAGG